UACGGAGGGGGCGAGCGUUAUUCGGAAUUAUUGGGCGUAAAGGGCGCGUAGGCGGCUGAACAAGUCAAAGGUGAAAUCCCUCGGCUCAACUGAGGAACUGCCUUUGAAACUGUUUGGCUUGAGGCCGGGAGGGGGUAGCGGAAUUCCCAGUGUAGCGGUGAAAUGCGUAGAUACUGGGAGGAACACCAGUGGCGAAGGCGGCUACCUGGACCGGUACUGACGCUGAGGCGCGAAAGCGUGGGUAG
rnacentral:rRNA from 1 species